CAGAGGCAGGUGGAUCUCUGUAAAUUCAGGGCCAGCCUGGUUUACAUAGAAAGUUUCAGGACAGCCAGGGCUACAUAGAAAGAACUUGUCUCAAAAAACAAACAAACAAACAAAAAAGGGUUAUUCAAGAACUAUUGACUCAGUGGGCUUGUAUUCUAUAAGAUUCAAGAAAGCUGGUGUGUAAGGACUGUCCCCAGAUUAACCCUUCAAGGUAUUUCAGAGGACUGUAUUUGAGGUCAGUCAACCCCUUGGGCCUUCCCAGCCCUGCAUUAACAAGAAUGAAACUUUCGAAAUGAAGCCCUCUUCGUGACAGAGGCACAGAGCCCAGGUGUGACCACAACCUAAUUUUCCCCACGCACAGAGGGAUGGAGGUAAUUACACCUUGGUUCAGAAGGGGUAAAAGGAGCCCUAACAACCUGACUUUUUCUUUUGGGAACAUACAGUACUUCCUAUUAUGACACAGGAAUGCGUGUCUGCCUAACUCUUUCAUUCUUAGCAGGACUCGUUGCUUGUAGGUGAUUGCUGGCACACUCGUGGUCCAACUAAGCUGCUAGGCAGUGACUUUCUCUCCUUCACAUCUCUCAGCACAUUUCUUUAUCCGCAAAGCGGUGGGAUUUUCAUUGUCCAAGGCCCUCCAAAGGCUACGAUCUAUUUGAUCAACUUCUUGCUGUCUCUGUAACUCUUGUUUUCAGCUUGCUUGCCCCGGCUGCUCACAUUUUCCUGGGUUCCUUCUCUCUCUGGGAAUCCAGCAGCUCUCACAUCCAGCAGUCAUAUACUCUACCUCACAUUGUUCUUUCUUCUCACCACUAUCAAAGUCAUAGACAGAGGCUAAGAGACUUUGAAAACAAAUCUAUAUACUGGCCCAUACAUGGUAAAGAAUGCAUAUGUAAGAGAAUGUGUUCUGGGAAAGACUGAAAGGUCUGAGGGGCAGACUUUCCUGCCCCGAGUCUCACCAAGGGGCUCUACCAGCAGGAAAUGACCUGGUGCACAUCCAGGUGUCAUGUUUCUAGCUGUGGAAGCCUUGCCUGCCACCAGCCGCACUUCCUAGGUUAUCCAAUACUCAGCUGAGUGCCCCUUAAUUAUCAGCAACUUUUAUACAGAGUUACAAAGCAAUUCAGCAAACUACAAAUCCCCCUCCCAUUCCAGUCACACGUACAUCCCCAGCCCCAUCCCUACAAACACUGAGUCUUCCCUUCAGCCCACAGCCCAGGUAGACUCAAGGUGGAAAAGGGUUUGAAGCCUUGCUCAGGAUUUGGAGAGUAGAGCUGCUCAGCCUCACCCUGCAGAAGCUGAGGGCUGGGGGAAGUGGAGGUUUCUUUGUCUGGAUCUUAAUCAGCUGUGUUCCAUCAGCCUCUUUCCAAAUAACCAUUUAGAGACUUAGUACUAAUUAUAAAUGUUUGGCCAAUAGCUCAGGCUUAUGACUAACUAGCUCUGCAGAAGCCUGCAGACACCCUGCAGAAACCAAAGGCUGGUGAUACCCCACACAAGCAGAGGACUGGUAAUAUGCCAUAUAAGCAUAGGACUGGUGAUACCUCACAUAAGCAGAGGGCUGGUGACACUUCACAUAAGCAGAGGGCUGGUAAUACACCAUCUAAGCAGAGGGCUGAUGACAUCCCACACAAGCAGAGGGCUGGUGACAAGGGACAGAUGGCAGGAUGUGGUGGAUCAACAGCCCCACUGUCCAACAGUGAAGGGCUCAUAGAAGACAUACCUUCCUGUUUUGGAGAGUGGGGCCUCAUGUGUCUGAGAUGUCAGCAGCAUUGGCACUACCACACCCAUGACACCUGUUCAGAGCCUCCCUCUCUCCUGAAUCACUGCAGUAGCUCCUGGCUGAAAUUCAGGCUUCCCCUUGCCUCCCACAUCCCUCAGAUUGCUCUGUGACAGCCAAGGGAUCCUUUUAAAUGUAAUGGAUUCAGAUGUAAAACUUCUCAAUUCUGCAGUGGCUUUCUGUAUGAGUCCAGGUAAAAGGCAAAGCGGGCUGGACACAACCUCCUCCCCUGCUUCCCCUCUGGUCACUUUUCUCUAGUUCCUGGGCCUUCACUAGGUCCUCUAGGAUGUAAGUUCUUGGAAAUCUGGGUGCUUUCUGCUCCCUUAAUUGAACAAGGUCCUGGAGGUCGCUUACUCUGAGAACUCAUGAAGUCCAGUUCAAAACAACAGCCUGGAGUCCAGAUGGGGCCAAACCUGGAGAGCUCUCGCUAGCUUGUUGGUCUCUAGGUAGAACUCUGAUUCCUUCUCCCUCUACGUCCUGGCUUUCCUGCUUCUCUGGAUGACAAAAUGUUUUCUGACCACACUAUAGCUUGAACUCAUUUAUUCAGUUACGCGUUUUUCUGUGUAGAAUGCACCAGGCAAUAGUCUAGGUGUUUGCAUCCGUGAACAAAGUGGAGAGACGUGGAGAGACCCGCCUUCCUGGAGCUGGAAAGAGAGGGGAGAGCCUGUAGACAUCACGAGUAAGCACAUGUGACAUAUAGACGACCAGGGUUUGGGGGAAAGAGGGGAGUAGGAGAAAGAGAGAUUGGAAACGUGGGGACAGGGGAGUACCAUGGUAAACAAAGGCCAGUGUUGACUCUAGUGAUGAGAAAUCUGAGAAAAGAUGUCCAGUUGCCACAGGCAUAGACUCCACUCAGCAUCCCACUUCUAAAUCCAUGCAGGAGAAAUCUGAUGGGUCCAGGUUGUCCCAGGUGUUUUCCCUCGGGCCUGCCACUAGUUAUUAGGGCAGGCUAUGGACAUACAAAAUUAACAUGACUGCUCCAAGCCCAGCCCUGCAGGUGGACUGGGAAGGCCAAGGCCAGUCCCAAAGAAGAAAUGGGAAAUACCUGACCAAGACUGGUUUUGCCACUAGUGUCUGUGAAGGUUGAUAAUUGGUUUUGUUUUAAUUUAUGUCAUAUUCCAAGUGAUCAGUGCUCACCUAGCACCCUUAGACAGACAGACAGAUGCGUGCACGUGCACACACACACACACACACACACACACACCAGGCCAGGUUCAUGGGAAGGUGUGCUGCUAAUUCCUGCUGAAUUGCAGAAGAGAGAAAACAGAGGUUGCAGUCUUCUGUAUCAGGAAGAAACUUGCUGAACAUGAAUUGACUCAUAAUAAAAUGAUAUCCUAUAUUCCAACUCAGGCUUGUUUGUGCCUGAGGUACAAACAUCUCAACCCAUACUUUGCUCUUGUCUCUGGAGGACACAUCCCAGCCCACAGCUUGUUCCUUCUCCAGGUGACCACGACCUGACCAACACACUUGCUUCCUCCCCUGGAAGACUACAACCAAACCCACAGGCUUGCCCUGCCUCUGGGAGAUGAAUUGGCACUGAAGUGCAAACAGACUCACUUUUCAUCUCCACCUAAAGGAUUUGAUUGAAUGAACAAAACAUCACAGAGAAUGAAAGGAUCACGAGAGGAUAGUGCACAAGGCGCGGGAGAUGAUACAAAAGGCAAAGGCCGCGGGAUACAGUUCAUUUCUUUCUGAGGGAAACAAAAAUGGAACUGUGGACCAGCAAAAUGGUUCAGGUCACCAAGUGCGACAACCUGAGUUAGAGCCCUGGAACCCGGCACAGACAAGAGAGAACUGAUCCCACAUGGCUUCCAACCUGAACACACACACUAUGUUCUUGGGCUUGGGCAUGCCAACACCAACACACACAGACACACACACCAUUUUUAAAAAAUAUUUUCAUUUAUUUUUGAGAAUUUUAUACAAUGUGUUUUGAUCAUCCUUCCUUCAAGCUCCUUCCAGUUUUUCCUAACCUCCUCCUUCCUAACCACUUAACCACCCUGCCUUUUUUUAAACCCAUCAAGUCCAAUUUGUGAUUUAAAAAACAGUGGGAAAUUUGACAAAUAUGGAGUCCCCUGAUGCAUAGAAGAGGAAACCUUGGAUUCUGAGCCCAGAAGACCAGCUGCAAGGCCCCACAGACAACCUAUGCCCUCAUAACCUUGCUGAAUUGUUAAUGUUUAAAAAGGAGACAAUAAUAUGUAUAAAUGUGUAACUGUAGAAAUACUGACCCCCUGUGAUGAGAACAGCAAUGAAAGAAUGUUCUAGAGUUUCAGGUACUUUCUCUAGAACUAUAAGAUCACAAUGAGCUCUAGGCUGACCUUUGAGUUCAGGAAUUGGCCCACUACCUACUACCCAGUUCUGUGGCUGGAGGGAACGGAAGCCCUGAUGAAUGGAAAUCACGCGGACAGCAUCGGGCAGAGAGGUGAGGGAGACAGAGGAACUAAAAGCUUCAUUGGUCAUGGCCAGGAGAGGAAACUGUGUGUAUUUGGGGCUCUCAGUUCCUGGAGUCUUUCAAUGGGGACUGUCAAAGCCAUCCUAGCCUGGUGAAUAAACAAAAAGAACGUCCCAAUCUUGCCUGCAUCAAUACAAAGGAGCCGGAGACUAGAGGGCACUGCUCCGUAGACAGGAGAGGCCUUGUCCCCCAGGCCACCUUUGAUCAUCAGCCUUCUCUUGCAAGCAAUUAAUGCAUAAUCGCCAGCAAACCUGAGUGUCUGCAAGAGUCAAAACCAGGAAAAUGUUUUCUGAUUUGCCUUUGAGUCUCAAGAGGAUUCCAGCGCCGACUAGCCCACAGACCUUGCUGUAAUUGCCUGUGCUUCUCUUUCAUGGUUUGCAAUAGAUCCUUCAGAAACGGCCUCGCCCACGCUCGCCUCUGACUGUAAGGACCACACAGCUGGGACCUCAAAAGCAUCUUGGAGAAUCCCGAGGCCAUGAGAGGCUGGUCUAUAAAGAUGGAGGAUCUUGGUUUUGUAAACACAGUUGAAAUAUGUCCCUGUGGGUUUUUUGGAGUUGGGGGUGGGGAAGCCUCACAGAUGCAUAUAUUGCACAUAAAGAGACCCUAGAGUCUGGUUCUCAACAUGUGGGUCAUGGCCUCUUGGGGGAAUCGCAUAUCAACAUCCUGCAUAUUAGGUAUUUACAUUAUGAUUCAGAACAGUAGCAAAAUUACAACUAUGAAGUAACAAUGAAAUAAUUUUAUGGUUAGGGGUCAGCACAACAUGAGGAACUGUAUUAAAGGGUCGCAGCUUUUGGAACGUUGAGAAUCACUCUCUAGAGGGUCUUUCUUGACACGUAUCCCAAGGUCCUGACUUCAGCAAGCUUAUGGUAGGUCCAGUCCCGGUGCCUGCCCUUGACAGGUCAGAAAGGUUGCUGCAGGGUCAUAUGGUACACUCCUUCAUCCUUAAAAAAAUUUAAUUUAUGCUGCUUUGUUGAGCUAAGUUUUGUCUGUGCCCCAUGUCUGCCUAGAUGUGAAACGAAGCUCUAAUCUUUGGUGUUUCUUAAUAACCCUAGUAACAUUUUAAUUGUUCUGCACUUUCAUUUUCUAAAAGGAUUGGAUUUUUUAUUGUAUUUAUCUAUAUUGUGUGCACACUCAUGCAUGUGUGGAGGUCAGAGGACAUGAGUGAGCAGCUUCUCUCCUUCACCUGUGCCUUCUGAGGAUUGAACUCAGGGCUGGCUUACCUGUGCCCGUCUACAGGGUCAACUCUACUGUGCUGCCCAGACGAGGUCCGGGGCCUGUUCUCCCGAGUGCUGCAGCUGAGGCCUUUCCGAGCUCCCAAGAGGACAGCAAGAACAAGGAACCCAUCAGGCAGUGCAUCCAUCCAGGAGCAAGCAUGGAGCAGGCAAUAUAGGGAGCCAAUGCCGCCAGGGCGAGACCCUGGGAAACCCUGACUCCAUUCCUGACAUCACCUGGGAGACAGUGCCAGCACUGAGUAACAUUUUUUCUCUCUUGAAUGACUUCAACAGGUUGUAAGGAGGCAGCAACUGAAUAUUCAGAGAAUGUGUAGGAAUUAUGAAAACAGUACGCACUUGCUUUCUCAAGGCUGUUUUUCUUUGUAUGCACAUGACAAGUGUGUAGAUGUGUAUGUGCGUUCAAAUGUUGUUGGGCACACAUGUUGAUGUCAGGUGUCUCCCUAGAUGCCUCCCUGUUCUUUCAAUAACUGGUUCUUCAAUAAACCUGCUUGCUGAUUCUG